UCUCCGUUGGUGAACCAGCGGAGGGAUCAUUACAGAGUUGCAAAACUCCCAAACCACUGUGAACGUUACCUAUCCCGUUGCUUCGGCGGGCGGCCCGGGCCCCGCGCCCGGCGCCCCCCGGCCCCCCGUGGGCGCCCGCCGGAGGUAAACCAAACCCUUGAAUUGCAUGGCCUCUCUGAGUCUUCUGUACUGAAUAAGUCAAAACUUUCAACAACGGAUCUCUUGGUUCUG
rnacentral:misc_RNA from 1 species